rnacentral:lncRNA from 1 species
AUGGAGAAGUUUCGGGAGGUGUUGAACUUGCACCUCAAACACCGCAACGCUCUGGGCUACUGCCUGGUGAGCCUGCUGACGGCGGGCGGGGAGCGCAUCUUCUCCAGCGCGGUCUUCCAGUGCCCGUGCAGCGCCGCCUGGAACCUGCCCUACGGCCUGGUCUUCCUGCUGGUGCCGGCGCUGGCGCUCUUCCUCCUGGGCUACGUGCUGAGCGCGCGCACCUGGCGCCUGCUGACCGGCUGCCGCGCGGGCUGCGGCGCGGGGCUGCGCGGGGCCCUGGUGUGCGCGCAGAUCAGCGCCACGGCCGCGGUGGCGCCGCUCACCUGGAUGGCCGUGGCGCUGCUCGGGGGCGCCUUCUACGAGUGCGCUGCCAGCGGGAGCGAGGUCCUGGCGCGGUACCUGUGCGUGGGCCGCGACCCGCGCUGCGUCGCCCAGCUGCCGCUGGUGCCCUGCCAGCAGGCCCAGGCGCCCGACGUGAAGCAGCUGCAGAAGGAGCUCACGGCGCAGUCGCAGGUGUUAGGCUGGAUCCUGAUAGCAAUUGUUAUCAUCGUCCCUCUGAUUUUUACGUCAAUCAAUCGAUGCCGAUCUCCAGUUAGUUAUAUGCAGCUGAAAUUUUGGGAAAUCUAUUUGCAACAGGAGCAGCAGAUUUUUAAAAGUCAAGCCACAGAACAUGCAACGCAACUGGCAAAGGAAAAUGUCAAAUGUUUCUUUGAGUGCUCACAUCCACAGGAAUACAACACUCCAAGCAUUAAAGACUGGCAGAAGAUUUCAUCACUAUAUGCUUUCAAUCCAAAGGAGCAGUACUACAGCACUUUGCACAAAUAUGUGAACAAAAAACAGAAGAGUCAAAGUAGCACAUCUUCUGAAGAAGGUGCAACGGUUCCUGUUCUUGGCUUUGUAGAUUCAUCUGAUAUGAACAGCACUACAGACUUAUGA